GCUUUUUCUAGUACGAAAGGACCGAAAAAACAUGGCCCAUGCCCCAUGCAAGCCAUACCUGAUUAUUUAUGAUUAAAACUUAAUAAACACUCAACCUACCACUCAAGCUCUAGACAAGAGC
rnacentral:rRNA from 1 species